rnacentral:rRNA from 1 species
UGAAUUUCGGGAUCAGUACAUCGGUCAUGCCUCUGGUAUGUACUUCUUCGGACGCUGACAUCUUCCUGAUGAACUGUAAUGCCAUUAAUUUGGUGUUGCAGGGAAACUGGACUGUUACUUUGAAAAAAUUAGAGUGUUUAAAGCAAGCUAACGCUUGAAUACAUUAGCAUGGAAUAAUGAAAUAGGACGUUCGAUCCUAUUUCGUUGGUUUCUAGGAUUGACGUAAUGAUUAAUAGGGAUAGUUGGGGGCAUUAGUAUUCAAUUGUCAGAGGUGAAAUUCUUGGAUUUAUUGAAGACUAACUACUGCGAAAGCAUUUGCCAAGGAUGUUUUCAUUAAUCAAGAACGAAAGUUAGGGGAUCGAAGACGAUCAGAUACC